rnacentral:rRNA from 1 species
GGCGGAUAACGCUGGCGGCGUGCCUAAUACAUGCAAGUCGAGCGAACAAAAAAGGAGCUUGCUCCUUUCACGUUAGCGGCGGACGGGUGAGUAACACGUGGGUAACCUACCUAUAAGACUGGAAUAACUCCGGGAAACCGGGGCUAAUGCCGGAUAACAUUUAGAACCGCAUGGUUCUAAAGUGAAAGAUGGUUUUGCUAUCACUUAUAGAUGGACCCGCGCCGUAUUAGCUAGUUGGUAAGGUAAUGGCUUACCAAGGCAACGAUACGUAGCCGACCUGAGAGGGUGAUCGGCCACACUGGAACUGAGACACGGUCCAGACUCCUACGGGAGGCAGCAGUAGGGAAUCUUCCGCAAUGGGCGAAAGCCUGACGGAGCAACGCCGCGUGAGUGAUGAAGGGUUUCGGCUCGUAAAACUCUGUUAUUAGGGAAGAACAAACGUGUAAGUAACUGUGCACGUCUUGACGGUACCUAAUCAGAAAGCCACGGCUAACUACGUGCCAGCAGCCGCGGUAAUACGUAGGUGGCAAGCGUUAUCCGGAAUUAUUGGGGCGUAAAGCGCGCGUAGGCGGUUUCUUAAUUCCGAUGGGAAACCCCAGGG